rnacentral:sRNA from 1 species
CGGCCGCCCGAGUCGGCAGCGCUGGGCGGCCCGGGCCCCGGGCUGUGCUGCUGGGUGUCGGUGUUCUCCUGCCUCAGCCUCGCCUGCUCCUACGUGGGCAGCCUCUACGUCUGGAAGAGCGAACUGCCCAGGGACCAUCCCGCCGUCAUCAAGCGGCGCUUCACCAGCGUCCUGGUGGUGUCCAGUCUCUCACCCCUGUGCGUGCUGCUCUGGAGGGAACUCACAGGCAUCCAGGCACAUCCCUGCUCACCCUGAUGGGCUUCAGGCUGGAGGGCAUUUUCCCAGCGGCGCUGCUGCCCCUGUUGCUAACCAUGGUGAGUUCUCCUGCUGUAUUUUUUCUUCUGGUCUUUGUUAUCAACCUGAUGCGCAGUGCCAUGGACUCCUAUUGAUUGUAUUCGGAUUUUGGCUGAUGGGAGACAG